rnacentral:rRNA from 1 species
UACGUAGGGGGCUAGCGUUGUCCGGAAUCAUUGGGCGUAAAGAGCGUGUAGGCGGCCCGGUAAGUCCGCUGUGAAAGUCGGGGGCUCAACCCUCGAAUGCCGGUGGAUACUGUCGGGCUAGAGUGCGGAAGAGGCGAGUGGAAUUCCUGGUGUAGGCGGUGAAAUGACGCAGAUAUCAGGAGGAACACCGAUUGCGAAGGCAGCUCGCUGGGACGUUACUGACGCUGAGACGCGAAAGCGUGGGGAGCAAACAGG